AUUGAACGCUGGCGGCAGGCCUAACACAUGCAAGUCGAACGAGUGGCGGACGGGUGAGUAAUGUCUGGGAAACUGCCUGGUGGCGGGGGAUAACUACUCGACACGGUCGAUAAUACCGCAUACCAUCAGAUGUGCCCAGAUGGGAUUAGCUGGUUGGUGGGGUAACGGCUCACCAGUGCGACGAUCCCUAGCUGGUCUGAGAGGCUGACCAGCAACACUGGAACUGAGACACGGUCCAGACUCCUACGGGAGGCAGCAGUGGGGAAGAGGGCACAAUGGGCGCAAGCCUGAUGCAGCCAUGCCGCGUGGAUGAAGAAGGCCUUCGGGUUGUAAAGUACUUUCAGCAGGGAGGCGGUACCCGCAGAAGAAGCACCGGCUAAAUACGGGCCAGCAGCCGCGGUAAUAC
rnacentral:rRNA from 1 species